GUACUCUGUUGUUCUGAAGGUCCUGCCUGAUGCAGCUGAGACAUCAGGCAGAAAGAGACAACAAGAAAGCAGCACCGGUCACAGUCUCGUCACCGUUUACAGUUGCUGGGAGCAGAUAUGUGUCAGAACAGAAGCUUGGAGAAAGUGUCUGAACAAUAAAGAGGACUAAAGGAGCACCAGCAUUCACCAAACAAGGGAACUGUCUGCAGAGCUGCUGGAGAUAUUUCCUGUUCAUUUUACGAACAAAAUAUGGAAUAAGAAACCCAGAGUUGAGCUAGAAUGGAGAAAAGGAAGAAAGCAGAAAUGAGGAUGAAGAGGAACGUUUCUCAUAUCUGCUUGCUGCUUCUGGCUGUGGUCCAAAUCAGCACACCUUCCUCAGCUCAAAACACCACCACUACGGUGAACCCUGCAGCCCUCAGUUACCGCACACAGCCAGCAGGUGUCAGAGUGGCCGUGGGAGAGCCUGCAGUGUUUCGCUGUGGAGUGCCAGCAGCCUUUCCAAACCUCACUUUCACCUACUAUGGAAGUCACGGCACCUACAUCCUCAAAUGCCCUCAUGGAUAUGUGGAGGAUGUACCCCAGGCUCUCUAUGGAAGUUGUGAUGUGAAGAACGGAGAGUCAUUGUCCGUGUGGACACUCAGGAAACCCUCUUUGUCUGACAACGGGACAAGAGUCAUUUGUCAACAGUUAAAGAAUCCCCUUGCUCUUGCUGCUGUCCUGCAUGUUUAUGAUAAUAGUACGAGCUACUCCACUCUCAUUGGCUGUACCAUUGGAGGAUUCUUUGGCAUCCUGCUGGUGUUCGGUCUAUUGUACAUAAUCCUGCUAAGAUCUCAGCGCCUCCAGAAGUGCUUUGGGGGGAGUGAAACUGAAGAUGACAUGACCGAAAUCGUAUCAAAGGACUAAAAAAAGACCUUAAGACCAUUAAGAUGGUGCUCACCUUCUACAAAGUGAUAAAAAGCAGAAUUAACUCUUUGUAUAUAUAUAUAUAUAUAUAUAUAUAUAUAUAUAUAUAUAUAUAUAUAUAUAUAUAUAUAUAUAUAUAUAUAUACCGUAUAUAUAUAUAUAUAUAUAUAUAUAUAUCUGUUUGAGCUGAUCCUGGAUCUGGAGAUCCUGUCUGUCACCUGACAGCCUCACUUCGUUGUUCUGCCUUCAGUUAUUAGACCACACAAUUCAUGGCCGCGAACCACACCUUUAAGUGGUUGGAGGUGUUAUGAAAGAGGGCGAGAUAAGGAGUAGCUGCUCCUAGCUGGACACAGUUUGUCCACUCUCUCAAAGCACUUACUAUAAGAAUACAUUUUUUAUUUCAGGAAGACAACAUUAAAACAUGCCAGAGUUUUAUAUUUUACUUUUGUUUGCAUAAAAGCAAAGUGACCCCUCUAAAACACAAAGAAGCAUUUAUUUCCUUUGAUUUAUUUUAUCGUCCUGUGCUGUUUGUUUCUUAUUGUCCUGCUGACCUUGUGCUGUAUUGAUGUAUGCUUCCCAAAGACAAUACUAAAGUCAUAUGAUGUCCAAAAGUUCUUAUUUGAAUUUCCUUCUGGGUGAAUUUUAGGUGAACAGUCAGAAAGGAACAUUAGGUCAGGCUUGAGUGUCUCUCUUAAAUCAGACAUUUAACAAACAUGCAUAUAGUAAAUGGAGAAGAGAUGCUGUAGAAGCCACAAACAAGAGAGACACAGGGUAGUUUGCUUCCCUCUGGUGGUGAACUCCUGACAUGUCUGCUUGUGUCAGGGCCUCUGUGUUCUUUUUCAUGCAUUUAAGUUGUUUUAGGCAACAACAAAAUGAGUAGAUAAUAAAUAAUUAAAACAUAAGUAGGAAAGGAGGAAA
ensembl:lncRNA uncharacterized LOC114448601